rnacentral:rRNA from 1 species
AAUCAACGCUGGCGGCGUGCCUCAGACAUGCAAGUCGAACGAUUAAAGCUCUCUUCGGAGAGUGUAUAGAGUGGCGCACGGGUGAGUAACACGUAAGUAAUCUACCUUUGAGUGGGGAAUAACAAUCGGAAACGAUUGCUAAUACCGCAUAAUGCAGCGGCAUCGCAAGAUGACAGUUGUUAAAGGAGCAAUCCGCUUAAAGAGGAGCUUGCGGCAGAUUAGCUAGUUGGUAAGGUAAUGGCUUACCAAGGCUACGAUCUGUAACCGGUCUAAGAGGACGGUCGGUCACACUGACACUGAAUAACGGGUCAGACUCCUACGGGAGGCAGCAGUCGGGAAUUUUGGGCAAUGGGCGAAAGCCUGACCCAGCAACGCCGCGUGAAGGAUGAAGUAUUUCGGUAUGUAAACUUCGAAAGAAUGGGAAGAAUCAAUGACGGUACCAUUUAUAAGGUCCGGCUAACU